GGGCCGAAGGCAGGCGCCAAACCGCUGCGCUACCCAGGGAUCCCUCUAACCUGACUUCUAAGUAAAUAUAUUCAGAGCACUGUGGAGUCAAAAGUUUGUCGUGGAUUAAGAGAGUUGAAAUUUGAAGAUGGGAAAAAAUGCAGGAAUUUAGGAAGGUGCGGAGCAACACUGAUGUAAGAAGUAUGUAAUACAGAUGGAGGGAACCCACUGCCAAAGUCCACUCUGUGACAACACUUGAAGAAACCUCAGUGGUGAAACCAACAGACAGGAGAAGGGACAAGUGUUCCAUCUCUGGACACAUGCAAAUAACCCCGGUGUUAUCAAUGUCAGGGAUGGGUAGUGAGAUCCUUCCUAAGUAUGCAAGCCUGGGGAAAAGGGCAUGUAAUCUGUAUUAUUACUUGAACUGCUGUGGCAGCUCUACUUGUGUUAAGAGACUCACAGAUUCUCCUCUUCGUGGUUGUCAUCAGUUUUAAUUCUCUAAAUCAUGGACAGAGAUACGUGGAUACUGAUCAUUUCUGAUAGCUGGGAGAGAGUAUCACAAGAAGGCUAUUAGUAAAGGCAAAGGAACAGAGAUGAUCCAUACUUAAGGCCUGUCACCAUCAAGACCCAUCCAGAAGCUUACUGAACAAAAUGGUUGACUUGAGUACCUUCAACCUUGAGAAGGUGAAGCAAAAAGAUGAAAAUCAUUUCUUAAUGCGUAGCAGAGAAUGGGAGAGUUUUGAGUUUCCAUUUACACAAGGCAGUCUCAUGCCCUUCUCGAGAGAGAGCAGCAAUCGAAUAGUCAUAUUAAAACUGCCACAUAUUCAGUUAGUCAAAAAGCAAAAUGAUACUUUUGAAAAGAGAAAAACAACCUCAAAAGUUUGGCAGAAUUAUGUCCUUGGCCUUCAGCAGAACACCGAAGCCAGGACAGAAGUGCUGUGUGUUCCUCUGUUCCUCCCUUCGCUGUGUUCCGCGCUAUUACUUGCUAAAUCAAUUGCAGCUGCUUACCUCGCUCCAGUGCAUUUAAGCCCCUUCUUGGGGCUUCUGUAGCACCCUUUGAGAAUUUCACCCAUAACUCCUUACCAAUUCCCUAAGCUGUCUUGAUUUCUCUACCAGAAAAUUGUUAUUAUAUUUAUAACAGCAUUCUGAGAAUAUUUCACCAACCUGCUGACGAAACUCUCUUUUGUACGACCAAUGAAUUAUGCCUUAAAUGUCUUUUUCUCUCUGCAUGAUGUCCUAGAUUAAUGCGCUAUAUAAUGUUUGUAAAUACAACCAUGUUUCUUCUUUAAAAGUCAUUAAGAGGGUUUUAAUAAACAUCGAAAUGAUCAAUGUG